rnacentral:rRNA from 1 species
AGCCAUUAGACGAUAUUUAUGGUUUAACCUGCCCAAUGUUAGAAAUAAUGAAUGGCCGCGGUACCCUGACCGUGCUAAGGUAGCGUAAUCAGUUGGCUUUUAAAUGGAGUCAGGAAUGAAUGGGAAAACCGGGUUUAGCUGUCUCCAAACUAUUUUUUUGAAUUUACUGUUUAAGUGAAAAAGCUUAAAAAUGAUAAAGGGACGAGAAGACCCUUAGAAUUUUUUUUAAAAUGAAAACUUUUCAUAAUAAUUUUGUUGGGGCGACAGAGAAAUAUUUAAAACUUUCUUUGAAUUUACAUGCCGAUAUUGUUAAGUAAGAAUAAAUUACCUAAGGGAUAACAGCAUUAUUCUACAGUUGAGUUUGUGACCUCGAUGUUGGACUAGGAAACUAACAGGCUAGCCGUUUGUUGUGUGGGUUCUGUUCGAACUUUAAUUCCU